GUGCUGGUCUUACAGGGAGUGUGUUCAGGUGCAUUCUGGGGGUGCUGGUCUUACAGGGAGGUGUGUUCAGGUGCAUUCUGGGCGUGCUGGUCUUACAGGGAGGUGUUUCAGGUGCAUUCUGGGCGUGCUGGUCUUACAGGAGGUGUGUUCAGGUGCAUUCUUGGCGGGCUGGUCUUA